CAGUGGGGCCUGACGGCCAUAAAAGCAGCCAGUAGAGGCCGUUGUCCAAGAAGAGCAGCUUGGGGUGCAGAGAGGGGAGGUCCCCAAACCUCAAAGGCGUGUGGGCGGAAGAAUCCCUCGUCCAGGCAGCCCGGCCUUGUCAGCUCGCCAUGGCUUCGAGGACGCACAUUCCUCGCCCUCUCUGGCAGCGACCCCCUGGGUCCCGACACAGCCACCCUCAUGUUCACUUGAAGUGAAAAAAGGCCGAGAAACAGCAUUCAGAUGCCUCCACGCCCCAGCGUCCUAGAGGCAGAGCCGGUCACCUGGAGGUCCCCUCUGCAGUGGGGAGCCCGUCUGCCCAUCGCGGCCACCUCCUGCGCCGUCCGGGACCUGCGUGGGAAGAGAAGAGCCAGUAAAGCCCAAGCAGAGAGUGAAGUGUUCAGGAUGCUCGUGUGUGAGUGAA